rnacentral:rRNA from 1 species
UACAGAGGUCUCAAGCGUUGUUCGGAUUCAUUGGGCGUAAAGGUUGCGUAGGCGGCUCGGUAAGUCGGAUGUGAAAUCUCGGAGCUUAACUUCGAAACUGCAUUCGAUACUGCCGUGCUUGAGGACUGGAGAGGAGACUGGAAUUUACGGUGUAGCGGUGAAAUGCGUAGAUAUCGUAAGGAAGACCAGUGGCGAAGGCGGGUCUCUGGACAGUUCCUGACGCUGAGGCACGAAGGUCAGGGGAGCAAACGGG